rnacentral:rRNA from 1 species
UACGUAGGGGGGCAAGCGUUGUCCGGAUUUAUUGGGCGUAAAGAGCGUGUAGGCGGCUCAGAAAGUCGGGUGUGAAACCUCCAGGCUCAACCUGGAGACGCCACCUGAUACUGCUGUGGCUAGAGUCCGGUAGGGGAACACGGAAUUCCCGGUGUAGCGGUGAAAUGCUUAGAUAUCGGGAGGAACACCAGUGGCGAAGGCGGUGUUCUGGGCCGGAACUGACGCUGAGGAGCGAAAGCGUGGGUAGCAAACAGG